rnacentral:rRNA from 1 species
UGGGGAAUAUUGCACAAUGGACGGAAGUCUGAUGCAGCAACGCCGCGUGCGGGAUGACGGCCUUCGGGUUGUAAACCGCUUUUUCUCAUGACGAAGUUUUUUGACGGUAGUGGGGGAAGAAGCACCGGCUAACUACGUGCCAGCAGCCGCGGUGAUUCGUAGGGUGCGAGCGUUGUCCGGAAUUAUUGGGCGUAAAGAGCUUGUAGGCGGUUUGUCGCGUCGAUAGUGCAAACUCAGUGCUUAACGCUGAGCCUGCUGUUGAUACGGGCAGACUAGAGGAAGGUAGGGGAGAAUGGAAUUCCCGGUGGGGCGGUGGAAUGCGCAGAUUUCGGGGGGAACACCGGUGGCGAAGGCGGUUCUCUGGGCCUUUCCUGACGCUGAGAAGCGAAAGCGUGGGGAGCGAACAGG